GGACGGCUUCUCAUUGUCUGAUGAAACGUGAAUCUUCGGGCGUAGAAAUGUGCACCCUGGCCAAGGACAUCGUUUCUUAUUUCACGUGAUUGGACUAUUCGGGCAAUCGGAGACCCGUAUCGUUCCCUCACAGCCAGAGAGCUCCACGUAGCUACGCGAGCAAGUAGCUGACCGGAGCUGGUUAGCUGGAUGCUAGAUUACUCGGUGUCCACAGUGCCAAUGCAAGAGGGCCAACCUCAAAGAGAAAAAAGAGUACCAGCCGAUAGAGGUAAAGGAAUUGUAUAUUGUCAACUUUCAAACACCUGAAGGAUUUUCUAAUGCCUGAGUGUUUAUUUCUUUCUUCCAGGUAACAGAACCGUUUGAAUUGGUUGGUUUGGACCUAGUGGGAAAACUCACAGAAACAGAUGGUGGCAACCAGUACAUAUGUGUCAUGGUUGAUUAUUUCACCAAAUGGUCUGAGGCAUACCCACUUAAAAGAAAAACAGCAGAUGAGGUGACCAGUUGUAUUCUUGAUUUCUUUUACAAAUUUGGUGCACCCAAAAGACUGCUAACAGACCAGGGCACUGAGUUUCGCAAUAAGGUACAAUGAUGAUGCAUUAUGAAUCCCCAAUAUGUCAGCUCACUGCUGUCCAUACCAAUUUCAUGUUUAACCGAAUGAGAAUUUCCACGUCAACUCUGGCCUGUGUGAGAGGCUGGGCAUCGAGCGAAGCCUGUGCUCCCUCUAUCAUCCACAGACCAACGGCCACGUGGAGAGACUAAAUGGCACAAUACAGAGGUCCCUGAACAAACUGGUGGCAGAGAACCCCACCCGUUGGGACAAAGUCCUGCCAGCGACUAUGUUCGCGCUUCGGACAAAGAAGCAACUUACCACCAAGUACACACCAUACUAUUUGAUGUUUGGGAGGGAGGCGCGGUAUCCGUCGGAGAUACCAGCAGAGUACAAUGUAAGAUUCUGUAUUAUUCUUAUCCUUUUUUAGAUCUUGAAUUUGGAUUAUCGAUUUGCACAACAUUGAAAAUGUGGUUUGUGGCAGGUCACAGAAGAUAAAGUCUGCGGCCUGGUGCAGACGGAGGCAAUGGCAGACGGACUGAGAAAUCAAAAGGCUGUUUUUGAAGACGUUUUACAAAACAUUAAAAUAAGCCAGGAUAGAGUCAGUAAACGAAAAUCACUAAUUGGCCAGGAGGACCAUUUUUAAAGUGGGGGAUCGGGUGCUCCACAAAAAUAUUAAACAGGAGCAGAGGAAAGGGGGCAAGAUGGAGAGCACUAUGUUGGGCCCCUUUGUAAUUGUGAAACUAGAGGGCAAAAAAGCUGUGCUGGCCACACAAAAGGGGAAGAGGGUUACACAAUCCAACAUCGAUUUAUGAACUCAUUAUUUCCAGCCAGAGGAGAGGAUCCCAGCUAAACUGAAAAGAGAGUUUCGGAUCCUUCUCCUCUGGCUGGUCCAUCCAAGACACAGUCACAGACACACACAGACACAGACACACACCGACACACAGAAACAAACACAGACACACACACAGCCACAGAAACAGACACAAACAGACACAGAAACAAACACAGACAGAGACGCACAGACACACACACACCAUCAUCAAAGACAUCUGGACAGGGAGAAAGAGGAAAAAUAUUAUUUGGUCAAAGAUUGGGCCGUACAAAAAAAUUUCAGAAAAUCUCAUGGUCCUGGCCCCUGGACAUCUGGUGGAGGGAGAGAUUAUCAAUGCAUAUCUGAACAUGGUGGGAAGGGAGGCAAACGCCACCAUCAUCGAUACAUAUGUAAUGACGGCCCUCUGGGAGGGAUCUAAAACCUCACUUUUAAGAAGUGAGUAUACAGCUUGAUUUUUGUAUGUGUGUAUCUAUAUAUAUAUAUUUGUGUGUUGUUUUUUGUUGGAUCUUACAAAGACAAAUGUGGCGGCUGGAGCUGUGUGUAGUCGGGGACACUGGACACUCAUUAUCAUAUAUCUUCAGGAGAAGAGGGCCCUCUAUGUGGACCCAUUCGGUGCCACACAAGACCACAUUAAUAAAUGCAGGGAUAUAACCAGAGCACUGGUCCGAAGAAAAUUUCCAGCGAUUGGCAGAUGGACAUGUGCCACAAUCCCCCAUCCCAAGCAGCAGGACGGCACAUCGUGCAGUGUUUUUGUUUGCAAAGUAACAGUGUGAUUCUCUCUAAAGACAUCUGUAAUUUCAAAAGAAGGAAUCAGACUUCAACUAAUACAGACUUUUUAGCUGGCAGAGCAGAUAUUAAAAAAAGAAGAUGUCCAGUUCCCUGUGGACGAUGAGGGAGUGGGCAGGAUGAGGCUUGACAUCGCCACGCAACUCCUACUGAAUUCAGAUGACCUAUCUGAGGUGUGUCGGGCUUGCGGGGAGGUCAGCUCUGGGGCUGAGGUUGACGAGUGGGUAAGAAAAAAUAUUUAUAUUCGGACCAACAACAUUUGGCUGGAAGACUGGGAUGCACCUUGCCCCUACAUCACCUGGUGAACACUCACAAUCUCACAGCUACUGAAAAUGUAUGGCACGUCACCUAACUUGCAUGUUUUUGCACUUUCGGAGGACACUGAAGUAGCUGAAGUAACACAAACGGCACAGUUUCCGAUUUACACCCAGUAUCAAAGAUGCAUUCAGUUAUAAUGAAGGAAUGCCUAAUGAAUUUGUAAAUGGUCCCUUUUUAAUAUCCUAUUCUGGAAGAGUUUCUUAAACCAGACCAAAUAUAAGAACAUACUUAAAAGGUUUUGUCCAUUUUCAGAUCGAGUGCACAAGAUGCCAACUCUGGUUCCACAUGGAAUGCGUGGGACAUCCCCCUGCAGACCGGGACUAUCUCUGUUCUUCAUGGACACACUGAUGGAAAAUGGGUCCCACUCCGGCCCAUCAUUGAAAAAAGAAUAAA